GUGGGGAAUAUUGGGCAAUGGGCGAAAGCCUGACCCAGCAACGCCGCGUGAAGGAAGAAGGUUUUCGGAUCGUAAACUUCUAUCCUUGGUGAAGAUAAUGACGGUAGCCAAGAAGGAAGCCCCGGCUAACUACGUGCCAGCAGCCGCGGUAAUACGUAGGGGGCAAGCGUUGUCCGGAAUGAUUGGGCGUAAAGGGCGCGUAGGCGGCCUGGUAAGUCUGGAGUGAAAGUCCUGCUUUUAAGGUGGGAAUUGCUUUGGAUACUGUCGGGCUUGAGUGCAGGAGAGGGAAGUGGAAUUCCCGGUGUAGCGGUGAAAUGCGUAGAGAUCGGGAGGAACACCAGUGGCGAAGGCGACUUACUGGACUGUAACUGACGCUGAGGCGCGAAAGUGUGGGGAGCAAACAGGAUUAGAAACCCUUGUAGUCC
rnacentral:rRNA from 1 species